AGCGAACGCUGGCGGCAGGCCUAACACAUGCAAGUCGAACGAACUCUUCGGAGUUAGUGGCGGACGGGUGGGUAACACGUGGGAACGUGCCUUUUGGUUCGGUAUAACUCAGGGAAACUUGUGCUAAUACCGAAUGUGCCCUUCGGGGGCAAGAUUUAUCGCCAUUAGAGCGGCCUGCGUCUGAUUAGCUAGUUGGUGAGGUAACGGCUCACCAAGGCGCCGAUCAGUAGCUGGUCGGAGAGGAUGACCAGCCACACUGGGACUGAGACACGGCCCAGACUCAUACGGGAGGCAGCAGUGGGGAAUCUUGCGCAAUGGGCGAGAGCCUGACGCAGCCAUGCGGCGUGAAUGAUGAAGGUCUUAGGAUUGUAAAAUUCUUUCACCGGGGACGAUAAUGACGGUACCCGGAGAAGAAGCCCCGGCUAACUACGUG
rnacentral:rRNA from 1 species